GUUUGUACUCCCUUGAGAUCUGCCUUCUUCCCACUUCUGUGCAUUCCUCUCUCAGCUCUGUGAGUCUUCCUUUCUAAUGGCCUGCAGCUGUAACUGGAAGACUGCCCUAAAGAUACUGGAGCAGUUCUCUCUUGCAUGCUCAGAUUGCUAGAAGUACCUAGGAAUUUAUAUUCUUCCAGGGUUAGAAGGUGGGAGGAGAAUGGAACUCUCAAGAAAGUCACCCCAAGAUCUGUGGAUACUUUUCUGAAAAAAAAAUUAACUCAUAAGCUUACAAUAAACCAAACCUGUAUUUCUUAUCUGAAACAUUCAGGCAAGGCUACAAUGACAAAGCAGCCAUCUACUCACCAGAAAUCAGAGCUCCCAGCACCUUCAUCUUGGACAUUCCAGCCUCCAGAUCUGUGAAAAAUAAAUGUUUGUUGUUUAAGUCA
rnacentral:lncRNA from 13 species